UACGUAGGUGACAAGCGUUAUCCGGAAUUACUGGGCGUAAAGCGCACGCAGGCGGCUGAGUAAGUCUGACGUGAAAUCUCCCGGCUUAACCGGGAGCGGUCGUUGGAAACUACUUGGCUUGAGGCGAUGAGAGGGGUGUGGAAUUCCCGGUGUAGUGGUGGAAUGCGUAGAUAUGACAUAGAACACCAAUUGCGAAGGCAGCUGGCUACACAAAUAUUGACACUGAGGCACGAAAGCGUGGGGAUCAAACAGG
rnacentral:rRNA from 1 species